CCGACUUGGCAGGAAUAAUCAAGAUGGCGAACAUGAACGCGUUGACCAAAACAAUCGCAAAGGAUUAUACGUUUGAUGUGGAAGGCUCUGACAGUGCAGAUGAGAAUGAAUAUACGGCGGGUGGAGAUGGAGCUAGAAAAGCAGAGGACUCAGACUUUGCCAGAGUGGAACGACACAAGAGUAGAAAACACAAACAUCGAAGUAAACACAGAAAACAUAAACAUCCCUCACCAGAUGACAAGGACCACAAACACAAGCACAGACAUAAGCGAAAACACAGAGACUCAUUCAGGAAUGACAGAGAGUUUUCCACAGACUAUGACAGUGGAAUCAUCUCUCCAAAGAGAUCCAGGCUGGAUGAUCUGGCUGCACUUGAGGAUCUAGAGAAACAGAGAGCCAUGAUUCAAGCAGAACUUGAUAAUGAGUUAAUGGAAGGAGCUGUGCAGUCAGGUAUGGGACUGAUCUUGCAGGGUUAUAACUCGGACUCGGAUGAUGACGGUGAGAUCGAGGAAGCUGUGCAAAAUUGUGAGCGUUGGAGACAGGAUCUCAAAGAGCACGUCAUUGCCAAGGAACACGGGGACCAUCAGGUAACAAAGGAUCCUGUAGGAUCUCGACAAGAUCACGUCGACGAGGGAAAAGUUUCCUGGCGAGAAGACAGAAGCACGUCUGGUGAGAUGGCAAUCCGGUAUCGGAAGUCAGAAAAAGAAACUGAACUAGAUAUAUGUGACCCAAGCAAAGCAAGGGAGAGGAGACAGUCCUGGAGCACAGAGAGAUCCAAAGAUGAAGGUCAAAGGUCGAAAUCUCCUGUGACGGCCAGAGGGCGGUCAUCUAGUGGUAAAAGGCAUGACACGGAGAUGGAGCGAAAAACAGACGAUGGUAAAAGACAUCCUUCAACAUCGCCCGCACAGCGUGAUGAGCAAAACGUUGAACGUAGAAAUUCCAAAUCCCCGGAAAGGAGGAGCAAAUCUACAUCUAAAGAAAGAAAUACAAACUUGCCAGAAUGUGACCGAGACGGAGAAAAGAAACCAGUCAAGACAACUUCAAAAGAAACCUCAUCUGGAAAAGAAAAUCGUUCUCCUAGCGGAAAACCAGUUUCAGAACAUCACAGCCCCAGUGUGCAUACACGGGGUCACCGGACCCCUGAACACAGCACAGACAGGGCAUCCAGACAAGACAGAUCUUCUUGCCACAACAGAUCACCUACCAGGAGAGGCCGAUCUCGGUCUGCGGAAAGGAAACGGAGAGAAGCCGACCGCCCGAGACUUUCCAAUGACAGGAUGCGAUCUCGUGAUGAGGCAGGGGGUCGUAGAGAGGAAAGCCCAUCUCUAAGCUCCAGGCGAAGAUUAAACCAUUCAGCUUUUAGACGGAGGUCUCGUUCUCCCCGGAGACGCACCAGCAGGUCUCCUGUCAGACACAGGGAGCGGGACAGGACAGAUCGCAGACAGCAGUUACUUUCUGCAUCCCAGGAAAGGCGGAGGAGACGAAGCAGGGAAAGAGAAGACAUGUUUAAGGGGAGUCUGUCUGAAGGCAUGAAGGCCGAGAAGGAAGACUCUGAUGAAGAAGUGCUGGAGGACUAUGAAAUUAAUGAAGAGGAAGAGGAGGCUUUAAUAGAGCAGAGGAGACUUCAGCGCUUGGCGAUUAUUCAGAAAUAUAAGUCCGUGAACGAAGACAGUAACAUGUCAGGACUCUCAGAGCAUGGCAGUCCUCAGAGCAGCAGGCACAGUCGAUCUCCAUCACCUGAUGAUAUCCUCGAGCGUGUGGCCGCUGAUGUUAAAGCCUACGAGCAAGAGAACCUGGACACGUUUGAGGACAACGUGAAGGCCAAGCUUAACCUUGUCUCUCAGGAAAAGGAUGGUGCUAAUCUGAAAAAGCCACCAGCCCCUGAUAUGUUCGCGGAGUCCGAUGACAUGUUCGCCGCUUACUUUGACAGUGCCAGAUUACGGGCAGCAGGCGUUGGAAAGGACUUUAAGGAGAAUCCGAGUCUUAAAGACAACUGGACAGAUGCAGAGGGCUAUUACCGUGUGAACAUUGGCGAGGUGUUGGACAAGCGGUACACGGUGUAUGGCUACACGGGACACGGUGUCUUCAGUAACGUGAUCCGAGCCAGAGACUUGGGCCGAGCCAAUCAGGAGGUGGCAGUGAAAAUAAUACGGAACAAUGAGAUGAUGCAAAAAACGGGGCUCAAAGAGCUGGAGUUUCUCAGGAAACUGAACGACGCUGAUGCAGAUGAUAAGUUUCAUUGUUUGAGGCUCUUCAGACACUUUUACCACAAGCAGCAUCUGUGUUUGGUGUUUGAACCACUCAGCAUGAACCUGCGGGAGGUGCUGAGGAAGUACGGCAAGGACGUGGGGCUGCACAUCAAGGCUGUGCGCUCAUACAGCCAACAGCUUUUCUUGGCCCUAAAACUGCUGAAGCGAUGCAACAUACUUCAUGCUGACAUCAAACCCGACAACAUCCUGGUGAAUGAGUCCAAGACCAUUUUGAAGCUGUGUGACUUUGGCUCCGCAUCACACGUCGCUGAUAAUGACAUAACACCCUAUCUAGUCAGUCGCUUCUACAGGGCACCUGAGAUCAUCAUUGGAAAGUCAUAUGACUAUGGGAUCGAUAUGUGGUCUGUGGGCUGCACUCUCUACGAGCUAUACACAGGAAAAAUCCUCUUCCCUGGAAAGACCAAUAAUCACAUGCUAAAACUUGCCAUGGACCUGAAAGGAAAAAUGCCUAAUAAAAUGAUCAGAAAAGGUCUGUGCAAGGACCAGCAUUUUGACCAGAACUUGAACUUUUUGUACACAGAGGUUGAUAAGGUCACUGAAAGGGAAAAGGUCACAGUCAUGAGCACCAUUAACCCCACUAAGGACCUCCUGAUGGACAUGGUGGGUCGGCAGGCACUACCGGAGGACCAGCGAAAAAAGGUGGUUCAGCUGAAAGAGCUCAUGGACCAGAUCCUAAUGCUGGACCCCGCCAAGCGGAUCACUAUCAACCAGGCAUUGCAGCAUUCGUUCAUGCAAGAGAGGAUAUGAGCAUCUAACCAUACGUCAGAGACUCCUGCACGUGAUGGUUUUGUAUCUGCAGAUACUGUAUGACAACAAAAGACAUUUGAAUAUUUUAUUGGUUGUAUUGCCGUUUUAAAAUCAAUGCUAUUUUAUCGGUUCAGAUUUGUGGCCACAAGGUAUUUCUUUAUUUUUUUAAAUUCACUACAAGACACCGUAAAUAUAUUCUAUAUUGUUCAGAAUGCAUGCUUCAUAUGCACAGCUUCUUGUAGAGAACAGCGGCUAAAAUAAUAUGAAUGUCAACUGUAUUUGAUAUUACGCUCAAGGAUCAGAAUGUAAAAUGUCCAUCUGUGCUAGAACGUUUUACAUUCUCGAACAAAUAAAACUCGGUCACCAAGGACUUGUAGAGUUGCGAGUGUCAGGCCAGCAUAAAUGCUGUCUAUAUCCACCCUCCCUCAGGUGUGAGAGUGAGAGCGAAACCUGGCGCGCAGGCCCGCGGCAAACCAUUGCCGCAGGUGUGUUUCUGCUGAACCUGAGGUCUUGGGUCCUGCCUGACCUGGUCUGCAGGGAAAAGCUCCUCUGUAAAGGCAGGUUGUGCACCUCUAUGAGUACACUGAAGGUAAGCUUACCCUACCAAACCAAUCGGCAUCGUCGCACCCUUACGGCUUCUCCUGCAUGUUCACUGGAGAUGUUUAUCGGCGAAAUUGACAUGCACUCUUUGUCACCCUGUGUGCUGAUGUUUCUCACAGAGACAAAUCUGUCAAGCUUUUGCAAAAACGGAAGGAAUCCCCUGGGCAAACCGGGUUUUGAUUGACAUUGAGGGUAAGGGUGAAGGGGAAUCUGAAUAUUUGUUAUGGAUCAAGCACCUUCAGUGUACUGCUAGACAUACUACACUUUAUUUCAGCGAUGUUUUCACGUCAUAGUUUUUGUACAACCUUCAGAUGCACUACUGUACAAACCCCGCGGUGUUUCGCUGUGAAUAGGAAAUGUAGAUGUGUUGUUUGUGACUGUUCUCAUGUUUGUGAUCAUGUUGUCUUUUGAUACAGGGGUUUUCCUGCUCUGAUCUAUGAAUCUGCUUGUUACGAGCGGUAAUUUGCUUCUUUACUUCAUACCUUUAUGUUUGGAAUUAAAAAGAGACGAAGGUCAUGCUGGAAGAAUUCUAUGCUUGUUAUCUUUUGCAAAGAAGUCCUGCAUGAAAAUGUCAUCAUUUGAGUUUACUGUAAAUUCACAUUAUUGUUAUCUUUAAAUGAUAUAAAAUAAAGACGUUUGUGGUGUCGUAAGACAGGAAACGUUCUUGUUCGUUUCAUCAACACUAACUGCUGUUUGUGCUGUUUCUCCCACUGCUCUUUGUGUUCGAGUAUAAUCUCUGGCCAAUGGAGACACGGCCCCCUGUCUGCCUCUGCUUUCAAAGGAACAAGACAUCUUCAAGGCCCUUUAUCCAGGUCACUCCAUAAGGCAUGUUUAGAUGUAACACAAAGCUGAUGCUCUGUUCAAAAGUAUCAUUGAUUGUCGUUAUGAUUGCAAUAACUACAAUAUGAUUGUAGCUUAUGAAUAGUUUAAGGAUUUGUUUUUGCCAGUUGUAGUCCACUUUGUCUGGUCCGUAUAAUAUAAUCUUCAUGAAGUUCCAGCGUUGGUUUUAUCCACGAAAGUUCAUUAUGGGGCAGCUGUAUAUUCCAAACAGAAAUAGAUUGAUUUAGUCACUAUGUCAGCUGAUUAUUGUCCAUUUCCCCAGGAUGUUGCAAGAGCGUGUGCUGUCUGUGCUGUACCAAGAUACUGGUAUAUUUAUUCUCUGUAUUUUAGGUGCCGUCCAUUAGAGAAGAUUCUUAAAGGGAAGUCUCAUCCGGAGAAAAGGGUAAGUCUUAAAAUUCCUCCUGACUGCCAAGAUCACGUGACACUAAGUGUGAAAGAUAACCUGUCUGUCUGCGGCUGUCCUACUGUAUUAUUGAAGUGCCUUUCAAGUGCUCAUCUCAUCCACUAACGGAGGAAAUUACCCACUGCAGCCAUGCACAGCAUACUAUGUGUUUAUUGUGUGUAUUCAAUUCUGCAAAAUCGCAUCUGACAAUAAAGAGCGACUUUUACAAUGACACAUUGUAUUUUUUUAUGCUGUCUAUUAUUAUGUUAUAAGUGUAUAAACAAGCUGUUUUAAAUCAUGUGACAAGAACACAAGAAAACAUCUGGGGAAGCAGUCCGUUAUACUGUGUCGGAUAAUAUGCUACAGACAUGCAUGCUUCGGUAACAACUCAUUGUUUCAAUCUAGGCUGAAAUAAAUAGUGAAUAUAAUAUAUAUCAAAUAGUUUGUCCCACUUUGAACUCUCCAAUAUUUUCUUGCCCCGUACGGGGUUGUAAACGGAUAUUGUUAAAUAGGCUAUUCAGACUGUUGCAAUAUAAAAACAACAAACAGCAUCAAGGAAAACUUUAUAAUUUAACAGAACACUUACAUAUUUUAAGAGGGACACAAGUCUUUUUCAAGGUCUUUUUUGACUUUGGCAUAGCUUUCGUUGUGGGUUUGCGUAUCUUGGAAGCAUUUGCGCUGUUGCAUUUUAGUGACACAUUUGAAAUACUGUUAGCAAGACCUUCUGUCUUUCUUAAUUUGACUGUACUGGAGUUUGUUUUUUUACACACAUUAUGUGCUGGCUGUACUCCAUUUGGUACCCUAUCAGAAUGCGAUAAGGGGCGAGUAUGUUGCCUAGACCGUGAACGAGAGGACGAAGAAAGGGUGAGUUUUGUGAAAUCGGCUAAUGCUGAAUUACUGCCUCUAGUCCUCAAGUGUUCCAUCUGACUGCAAGGACUUUCCAACCGUCUCAGGCGAUUGGCACUCCGUACCAAAGCAGUUGCCGGGCGAGAUCGGACUGCUUUUCCUUGUUCCUUUUGUAUAGUUGCGGCUUGAAGUUUUUCCAGCUCUAGCAAGCGUGUCACCAUAGCUGUGAGACAAGGAUCCUUCCUCUCCAAUCCAGCAUCUGAAGACUCGCUGAAGUCUUUAAGUGGAACGGGGAGAACCUCCGGGUAAACUUGCUCUUCUUCUGCCGCCUCUGUUAAUUCCAGAUCUCUGUCAACUGAGUCUGGCCUCAGGUCCAGUUCUACAGCAGCUGCCCACAUUAAGACGGGAAUAUUGUCUUUCUAUAGGUCGGAGAGGUCACUGUCUUCUUCGCAUUCAACUGACGUCCGGCUGGAGUUAUUUAAAGAGCACUGUUCGGUUACGUUACCUUCAAGAAGUCCACGAUUGCAGGUGUCCAAACUGCUACAAUGUGAAUUGCUAAUUGUCUUCAUCUCGUCUGUUCUUUUAUUCCUUGAAGACACAGUGAGAGUGACCUGUAAGGGACUGUGUUCCAGUGCUGGUCUGGUGUCAUCUGUAGAUUUAUAAUGAUCAGACAUGUGUUCUUGCGUGCUCCAGAGGAUCGGAGGCUGUAGACCAAGCCUGUGCCAUCUGUG